AUUCCUACGGGAGGCAGCAGUAGGGAAUCUUCCGCAAUGGACGAAAGUCUGACGGAGCAACGCCGCGUGAGUGAUGAAGGUUUUCGGAUCGUAAAGCUCUGUUGUUAGGGAAGAACAAGUGCAAGAGUAACUGCUUGCACCUUGACGGUACCUAACCAGAAAGCCACGGCUAACUACGUGCCAGCAGCCGCGGUAAU
rnacentral:rRNA from 1 species